CCUACGGGAGGCUGCAGUGGGGAAUAUUGGACAAUGGGCGAAAGCCUGAUCCAGCCAUGCCGCGUGUGUGAAGAAGGCCUUCGGGUUGUAAAGCACUUUCAGUGGGGAAGAAAGCCUUGGGGCUAAUACCCUCGAGGAAGGACAUCACCCACAGAAGAAGCACCGGCUAACUCCGUGCCAGCAGCCGCGGUAAUACGGAGGGUGCGAGCGUUAAUCGGAAUUACUGGGCGUAAAGCGCGCGUAGGCGGUCUGAUAAGCCGGUUGUGAAAGCCCCGGGCUCAACCUGGGAACGGCAUCCGGAACUGUCAAGCUAGAGUGCAGGAGAGGAUGGUAGAAUUCCCGGUGUAGCGGUGAAAUGCGUAGAGAUCGGGAGGAAUACCAGUGGCGAAGGCGGCCUUCUGGACUGACACUGACGCUGAGGUGCGAAAGCGUGGGUAGCAAACAGGAUUAGAUACCCCUGUAGUC
rnacentral:rRNA from 1 species